rnacentral:rRNA from 1 species
GUCCACGCUGUAAACGAUGGGUACUAGGCGUCGGGGGGAGCGACCCCUUCGGUGCCGUCGCUAACGCAAUAAGUACCCCGCCUGGGGAGUACGGUCGCAAGACUGAAACUCAAAGGAAUUGACGGGGGCCCGCACAAGCGGUGGAGCAUGUGGUUUAAUUCGAAGCAACGCGAAGAACCUUACCUGGGCUUGACAUGCACGGGAAAGCCGGUGGAAACAUUGGCCCCUCUUCGGAGUCCGUGCACAGGUGCUGCAUGGCUGUCGU